rnacentral:rRNA from 1 species
AGAGUUUGAUCAUGGCUCAGGAUGAACGCUAGCGGCAGGCUUAAUACAUGCAAGUCGAGGGGCAGCACAGGGUAGCAAUACCUGGGUGGCGACCGGCAAACGGGUGCGGAACACGUACAGAACCUUCCUUCGAGCGGGGAAUAGCCCAGAGAAAUUUGGAUUAAUACCCCAUAGUAUAACGAUGUGGCAUCAUGUUGUUAUUAAAGAUUUAUCACUUGAAGAUGGCUGUGCGUAUGAUUAGGUAGUUGGCGGGGUAACGGCCCACCAAGCCUGCGAUCAUUAACUGGUGUGAGAGCACGACCAGUCACACGGGCACUGAGACACGGGCCCGACUCCUACGGGAGGCAGCAGUAAGGAAUAUUGGUCAAUGGACGCAAGUCUGAACCAGCCAUGCCGCGUGGAGGAUGAAGGUCCUCUGGAUUGUAAACUUCUUUUAUCUGGGACGAAAAAAGGGAAUUCUUUCUCGUCUGACGGUACCAGAUGAAUAAGCACCGGCUAACUCCGUGCCAGCAGCCGCGGUAAUACGGAGGGUGCAAGCGUUAUCCGGAUUCACUGGGUUUAAAGGGUGCGUAGGCGGGUAUGUAAGUCCGUGGUGAAAUCUCCGAGCUUAACUCGGAAACUGCCGUGGGUACUGCGUAUCUUGAAUGUUGUGGAGGUGAGCGGAAUAUGUCAUGUAGCGGUGAAAUGCUUAGAUAUGACAUAGAACACCAAAUGCGAAGGCAGCUCACUACACAAAUAUUGACGCUGAGGCACGAAAGCGUGGGGAUCAAACAGGAUUAGAUACCCUGGUAGUCCACGCCCUAAACGAUGAUUACUCGACAUACGUGAUACACAAUG